UACGGAGGAGGCAAGCGUUAUCCGGAAUUAUUGGGCGUAAAGCGUCCGCAGGUGGCACCUCAAGUCUGCUGUCAAAGACCGGGGCUUAACCCCAGAGAGGCAGUGGAAACUGAAGUGCUAGAGUGCAGUAGGGGUAGAGGGAAUUCCCGGUGUAGCGGUGAAAUGCGUAGAGAUCGGGAAGAACAUCGGUGGCGAAAGCGCUCUGCUGGACUGCAACUGACACUCAGGGACGAAAGCUAGGGGAGCGAAUGGG
rnacentral:rRNA from 1 species